rnacentral:rRNA from 1 species
AGAGUUUGAUCCUGGCUCAGGACGAACGCUGGCGGCGUGCUUAACACAUGCAAGUCGAACGAAGCUUGAUUACGGAUUCUUCGGAUGAAGUAUGAUAUGACUGAGUGGCGGACGGGUGAGUAACGCGUGAGUAACCUGCCCUUCAGAGGGGGAUAGCGUUUGGAAACGAACGGUAAUACCGCAUAAUGUAUUUUGACCGCAUGAUCGAAAUACCAAAGAUUUAUCGCUGAAGGAUGGACUCGCGUCUGAUUAGGUAGUUGGUGGGGUAACGGCCUACCAAGCCGACGAUCAGUAGCCGGACUGAGAGGUUGAUCGGCCACAUUGGGACUGAGACACGGCCCAGACUCCUACGGGAGGCAGCAGUGGGGAAUAUUGCACAAUGGGCGCAAGCCUGAUGCAGCAACGCCGCGUGAAGGAAGACGGUUUUCGGAUUGUAAACUUCUGUUCUUAGUGAAGAAUAAUGACGGUAGCUAAGGAGCAAGCCACGGCUAACUACGUGCCAGCAGCCGCGGUAAUACGUAGGUGGCAAGCGUUGUCCGGAAUUACUGGGUGUAAAGGGAGCGCAGGCGGGUGAUCAAGUCAGCUGUGAAAACUACGGGCUUAACCCGUAGACUGCAGUUGAAACUGUUCAUCUUGAGUGGAGUAGAGGUUGGCGGAAUUCCGAGUGUAGCGGUGAAAUGCGUAGAUAUUCGGAGGAACACCGGUGGCGAAGGCGGCCAACUGGGCUUUAACUGACGCUGAGGCUCGAAAGUGUGGGGAGCAAACAGGAUUAGAUACCCUGGUAGUCCACACUGUAAACGAUGAUUGCUAGGUGGUGGGGGGUCUGACCCCUUCCGUGCCGGAGCUAACGCAAUAAGCAAUCCACCUGGGGGAGUACGACCGCAAGGUUGAAACUCAAAGGAAUUGACGGGGACCCGCACAAGCAGUGGAAUUAUGUUGGUUUAAUUCGAAGCAACGCGAAGAACCUUACCAGCACUUGGCAUCCCACUUAACGAAUUAAGAGAAUAAUUUAGUGGCCCUUCCGGGGAAAAUUUAAACAAGGGGGGGGAUUGGUUGUCGCCACACCCUGGCCCCGAGAAAGUUGGGGUUAAAUCCCCCCAACAAAGCGAACCCUCCGCCUUUAUUGGUUACCCAAGAACACUCUAUUGGGACCGCCUCCCCCAAGGGGGGGGGAAAGUUGGGGAACAACCCAAAUACUAAUAGCCCCCUAUUUGUCUGGGGGUCACCCCGUUAAUCAAUUGGCCGCCCCACAAAGAGGAGAAAUACCCCCAGGUGGGGGCAAAAUUCAAAAAAUGGUCUCAGUUCGGACUGCAGGCUGCAACCCGCCUGCACGAAGUUGGAAUUGCUAGUAAUCGUGGAUCAGCAUGCCACGGUGAAUACGUUCCCGGGUCUUGCACACACCGCCCGUC